GACGAACGCUGGCGGCGUGCCUAAUACAUGCAAGUAGAACGCAGAAGGAGGAGCUUGCUUCUCCGGAUGAGUUGAGAACGGGUGAGUAACGCGUAGGUAACCUGCCUGGUAGCGGGGGAUAACUAUUGGAAACGAUAGCUAAUACCGCAUAACAGUAGAUGUUGCAUGACAUUUGCUUAAAAGGUGCAAUUGCAUCACUACCAGAUGGACCUGCGUUGUAUUAGCUAGUUGGUGAGGUAACGGCUCACCAAGGCGACGAUACAUAGCCGACCUGAGAGGGUGAUCGGCCACACUGGGACUGGGACACGGCCCAGACUCCUGCGGGAGGCAGCAGUAGCGAAUCUUCGGCAAUGGACGGAAGUCUGACCGAGCAACGCCGCGUGAGUGCAGGAGGUUUUCGGGUCGUGAAGCUCUGUUGUAAGAGAAGAACGAGUGUGAGAGUGGAAAGUUCACACUGUGACGGUAUCUUACCAGAAAGGGACGGCUAACUACGUG
rnacentral:rRNA from 1 species